rnacentral:tRNA from 1 species
GCCUAAUUCCCUUUAACC